rnacentral:lncRNA from 1 species
GCUUUCAAAUAAUUAUAAAAAUAUUUAUAUUUUACUACACAUAAAAAUCCAAAACUAGUUGACUUAAAGAUCCACCAGGUCAACAAGCCAGUGGUAUUGAGAAUCGACUAAAAAAACCAGUCGUCAUGGUUCCAAUCAUUUCCCCAACUCUGCUGAGAAGUAACAGGGAAACUUCAAGUCUUCUUUUCCUUUUUCUCAUCGUUUUCUGAGAACCUUCACAUCCAUAAAAGGCAUAUAUGGUAUCACAGAAGGAACCGAGAGGGAAGCAAAACUAAAAUUGGUCUCAGUCACAUAUGUGCUUUACCAAUUCUUUCUCCCAUUCCUUUUGCUUCAAUUCUUUGUGCCUACUACUAAGGCUCGGGGUAUAGCUCGGUUGGAUUGAGG